GAUGAACGCUGGCGGCGUGCCUAAUACAUGCAAGUCGAGCGAACGGACGAGAAGCUUGCUUCUCUGAUGUUAGCGGCGGACGGGUGAGUAACACGUGUAUAACCUACCUAUAAGACUGGGAUAACUUCGGGAAACCGGAGCUAAUACCGGAUAAUAUUUUGAACCGCAUGGUUCAAAAGUGAAAGACGGUCUUGCUGUCACUUAUAGAUGGAUCCGCGCUGCAUUAGCUAGUUGGUAAGGUAACGGCUUACCAAGGCAACGAUGCAUAGCCGACCUGAGAGGGUGAUCGGCCACACUGGAACUGAGACACGGUCCAGACUCCUACGGGAGGCAGCAGUAGGGAAUCUUCCGCAAUGGGCGAAAGCCUGACGGAGCAACGCCGCGUGAGUGAUGAAGGUCUUCGGAUCGUAAAACUCUGUUAUUAGGGAAGAACAUAUGUGUAAGUAACUGUGCACAUCGUGACGGUACCUAAUCAGAAAGCCACGGCUAACUACGUG
rnacentral:rRNA from 1 species